UACGUAGGUGGCAAGCGUUGUCCGGAAUUAUUGGGCGUAAAGCGCGCGCAGGCGGUCCUUUAAGUCUGAUGUGAAAUCUCCGGGCUUAACCCGGAAAGGUCAGCCGAUACUGCGGGGCUAGAGUGCAGAAGGGGCAACUGGAAUUCUCGGUGUAGCGGUGAAAUGCGUAGAUAUCGAGAGGAACACCUGCGGCGAAGGCGGGUUGCUGGGCUGACACUGACGCUGAGGCGCGAAAGCUAGGGGAGCGAACGGG
rnacentral:rRNA from 1 species